GGCUCAACCCCGUGAUGGGUCCGAAACUGGAGUUCUUGAGUGUAGGAGAGGAAAGCGGAAUUCCCAGUGUAGCGGUGAAAUGCGUAGAUAUUGGGAGGAACCACCAGUGGCGAAGGCGGCUUUCUGGACUAUAACUGACACUGAGGCUCGAAAGCCAGGGGAGUGAACGGGAUUAGAUACCCCGGUAAUCCUGGCCGUAAACGAUGGGUACUAGGUGUAGGAGGUAUCGACCCCUUCUGUGCCGGAGUUAACGCAAUAAGUACCCCGCCUGGGGAGUACGGUCGCAAGACUGAAACUCAAAGGAAUUGACGGGGGCCCGCACAAGCGGUGGAGUAUGUGGUUUAAUUCGACGCAACGCGAAGAACCUUACCAAGGCUUGACAUUGAUUGACAGACUAAGAAAUUAGUCCUUCUCUUCGGAGACAAGAAGACAGGUGGUGCAUGGUUGUCGUCAGCUCGUGUCGUGAGAUGUUGGGUUAAGUCCCGCAACGAGCGCAACCCCUGUGCUAUGUUGCCAGCAAGUAAAGUUGGGAACUCAUAGCAGACAGCCGUAGAAAUACGGAGGAAGGCGGGGAUGACGUCAAAUCAUCAUGCCCCUUAUGCCUUGGGCUACACACGUACUACAAUGGGCUUUAAUAGAGGGAAGCAAAACUGCGAAGUCGAGCAAAUCCCAAAAACAAGCUCUCAGUUCGGAUUGCAGGCUGAAACCC
rnacentral:rRNA from 1 species